GUCCCAUUUAGGUCCAUCCCAGUCCCAUUUAGGUCCAUCCCAGUCCCAUUUAGGUCCAUCCCAGUCCCAUUUAGGUCUAUCCCAGUGCUACCCCAGCUGUGCCAGCCACUCCCUGGUCCUGUCCCAGUCCUGUCCCAGUCCCAUUUAGGUCCAUCCCAGUGCCAUUUAGGUCCAUCCCAGUCCCAUUUAGUGCCAUCCCAGUGCUACCCCAGCUGUGCCAGCCACUCCCUGGUCCUGUCCCAGUCCUAUCCCAGUCCCAUUUAGGUCCAUCCCAGUCCCAUUUAGGUCCAUCCCAGUCCCAUUUAGGUCUAUCCCAGUCCCAUUUAGGUCUAUCCCAGUCCCAUUUAGGUCUAUCCCAGUCCCAUUUAGGUCCAUCCCAGUCCCAUUUAGGUCCACCCCAGUGCUACCCCAGCCGUGCCAGCCACUCCC